UACGGAGGGUGCAAGCGUUAUCCGGAUUCACUGGGUUUAAAGGGUGCGUAGGUGGGUUGGUAAGUCAGUGGUGAAAUCUCCGAGCUUAACUUGGAAACUGCCAUUGAUACUAUCAGUCUUGAAUAUUGUGGAGGUCAGCGGAAUAUGUCAUGUAGCGGUGAAAUGCAUAGAUAUGACAUAGAACACCAAUUGCGAAGGCAGCUGGCUACACAAAUAUUGACGCUGAGGCACGAAAGCGUGGGGAUCAAACAGG
rnacentral:rRNA from 1 species